CAUGACCGACCCGUCCUUUCCAUAGCAAGCACGAACCGACUUGUUUUCCACCGCCAACCAGGGCAGCCACGCCGGUAUAUAUGGUCUUCCCCCUCGCCCCUCUUCCUCUCUCUCUUCGUCUCGUCACGAUUUCUCCUCGGGGUCCUCUUCGAUUCGUAAGAUAUGAUGAGAUUUUUGCUUCAUCCGUGUUGCUCACUUUGCAACUGGUGGCCUGUGUGCGUAAUUGAUCUUUUGGGUGUGGAGCUGUAACCAUGUACGAUGAUUUCUUCGUUAAUGUCGCCUACAGCCAGACUCCUAAGAUUUUCCUACUAUGCACAGAUGCUUUCCUUCCUUGCAAUGGUGCCAUGAGCAUUCCUUCAUCUAGGAAUCGUGAUGGUGAUGAUGUUUCUUGUUUGAUGAUUGAUGUGCUGCUAAUUAGAUGAUGUAUGUCCAUAUCUCCCAACCAGAAGAUAAGGUAAUGACCUCGGUAAGCUAAUGCACAUGUAUGUGCAUGUUGUAUAAUCAUGUUGUACUAUAUACUAUGUAUGAUGUAUCUAGAUUUAGGGUAGGAAGGCCUUUGCCAUGUUGGGUGCGCUCGCUUGGCAGGCCACAAGACAAUAAAAAGAUAUUUUCCUUGUGUUGUUGGGGUGGAGAUCGCACGGGGAACUAUUCAUUUUAUUUUGCCCCGGGUUCUUCACCCCGACCUGGUGUCCCUGUCUCCACUGUGUUCUCUCUUAUGUCCUGGUGUUCAUGUGGUGCGUGACUGUGCGCUUUCAUGAGUCCUACCAUGCGGAUAAUCACAUGUCGAAGAUCAUCAACGAUACAUCUCAUGGAUAACUACAUGUCGAAGGUACACAUAAUUUACUGCCUUUCAGUCCUUCAUGUGGCUAAAUAUCAAUCAUUGUUAACUUGCUCGAGACGAUACUGCAACUAGCAAUUUCAGCUAAUUUAAACUCAACUAAACUAACUUGUUGCAUUCCACACUGAAAGGUUACUGCCUUUCAGUCCUUCAUGUGGCUAAAAUAUCAUUUAUUGUUAAUUUGCUCGAGACAAUACUGCAACUAGCAAUUUCAGCUAAUUUAAACUCAACUAAACUAACUUGUUGCAUUCCAAACUGAAUACGGUCGGUCUUACUGUCAUGCUUAGGUUGUACUUUUGUCCCCGAUAUAACCUGCAUGUAGCUUAGCUACCAUGCCUUGAGCUAAGAUGAAAAUCUAUAAUAUUAAAUUUGGCCUUAAUUAAGUAGCCUGCCACUUCGCUAGACAACCAUACGUGAUUAGGGCUUAACAUACCAAGUUUUCUAUUCACUCCACAUUUGUAGAUGCUUAAUUGUUUUCAUUUCCUUGCGUCGCCACAAAAGCUAAAUCAUGUAGUAUCUCAAUCGUUCGGUAUUGACUAAUCUCCUGAACUUCAUUGUCGUUUUGCUGAUGUACAUUUGAUUGUUGACUAUUACAAUCACAAAUGUAUGUGGUGUUCAUUUGUCAAGGGGUGCUUCAUUCCAAUUGCUGUUGUAUAUGAGUUUUGUUGUACAAAAAAUGAGCAGUUGCUGGACAGAGCUUGCUGUACAUGCAUGUCCACAGCUGUUAUCAUUUGAGUAUGCUUUCUGUUAGUUCAUCUUUAGCGAGCUGCGGGGAGAAUUUACAUAUCUGAAGCUAGUAUUCAUCAUGAUGCUGCAACCAGCACCAACCUGGCCUUGGAAGGGGACUGGUGUCAUGAUGGAAGAUACAAGGCGAUGUCCUGAUGGUGAGUCUGGCGAAUCUGGAAUUUGUUGAGGAAGACACAAGGCGAAAUGGGUAAUCUUAAAGAAGCUGUUCCUAUGGUUUUUGUGGCAUUGAGGCAGUAAAAUCAUGGGAUCAAAUUCUUCUGGGAAGAUUCUGUUGAUUCAUCUGAAUUUUGUUGUCUUAUUGGGUGUCACAUAAUUGAAGCCUACAUAGAUUUAUGCUAAUAUCUGCUCCUCGUUGCUUGCUGAGGGGGAGGUGAAAGAUCUGCAUAUGUUGGUGAAGUGGUGAUAGCAUGACUGCACGCCUGGUGAUGUAUGAUAAUUAAUUUAAGCUAGUA